UGCGUAGGGGGCAAGCGUUGUCCGGAAUCAUUGGGCGUAAAGCGCGUGUAGGCGGCCCGGUAAGUCCGCUGUGAAAGUCCAGGGCUCAACCCUGGGAUGCCGGUGGAUACUGUCGGGCUCGAGUCCGGAAGAGGCGAGUGGAAUUCCUGGUGUAGCGGUGAAAUGCGCAGAUAUCAGGAGGAACACCAAUGGCGAAGGCAGCUCGCUGGGACGUGACUGACGCUGAGACGCGAAAGCGUGGGGAGCAAACAGG
rnacentral:rRNA from 1 species